UAAGUUUGUGGUCAAAGGCUUGCACCCAUUUGCCACAGCAGAUGCCCCCAAUUUUCGGUUACCAGAGUCAGGUUGGAAUUCAUGAACAUCAUCAGUGAUCUUUCUCGACAGCGGGCUCAUCAGUACCUGGUGACAAAAAGUCAAUCCAGCUCUGACUUGAGACUGUUCAAGAAUCAGCGCCACUUGAUCUGGUUCCACCUCUACCACCGGCAGAGAAACACAGGUGAGAUCUCCUCCUGCCAGUCAUCAUGCUACAACUGUGUCCAGGUGUUUUGUGGAUAUUAUACAUGGUUAUGCUCAGGAUAAGUCCGCCAAUUUCCACUGGAAAUGCCUUUUGGUUAAACUGUCAGCAAGGAAUUUGCACUGUUAAAUUUUUAUAUAGCUUUAA